GAUGAACGCUGGCGGCGUGCCUAAUACAUGCAAGUCGAGCGAACAGACGAGGAGCUUGCUCCUCUGACGUUAGCGGCGGACGGGUGAGUAACACGUGUAUAACCUACCUAUAAGACUGGUAUAACUUCGGGAAACCGGAGCUAAUACCGGAUAAUAUAUUGAACCGCAUGGUGCAAUAGUGAAAGACGGUUUUGCUGUCACUUAUAGAUGGAUCCGCGCCGCAUUAGCUAGUUGGUAAGUUAACGGCUUACCAAGGCAACGAUGCGUAGCCGACCUGAGAGGGUGGUCGGCCACACUGGAACUGAGACACGGUCCAGAGUCCUACGGGAGGCAGCAGUAGGGAAUCGUCCGCAAUGGGCGAAAGCAUGACGGAGCAACGCCGCGUGAGAGAUGAAGGUCUUCGGAUCGUAAAACUCUGUUAUGAGGGAAGAACAAAUGUGUAAGUAACUAUGCACGUCUUGACGGUACCUAAUAAGAAAGCCCCGGCUAACUACGUG
rnacentral:rRNA from 1 species